AGUGAACGCUGGCGGUAGGCCUAACACAUGCAAGUCGAACGGCAGCACAGUAAGAGCUUGCUCUUACGGGUGGCGAGUGGCGGACGGGUGAGGAAUACAUCGGAAUCUACUUUUUCGUGGGGGAUAACGUAGGGAAACUUACGCUAAUACCGCAUACGACAUACGGGUGAAAGCAGGGGAUCUUCGGACCUUGCGCGAUUGAAUGAGCCGAUGUCGGAUUAGCUAGUUGGCGGGGUAAAGGCCCACCAAGGCGACGAUCCGUAGCUGGUCUGAGAGGAUGAUCAGCCACACUGGAACUGAGACACGGUCCAGACUCCUACGGGAGGCAGCAGUGGGGAAUAUUAGACAAUGGGCGCAAGCCUGAUCCAGCCAUACCGCGUGGGUGAAGAAGGCCUUCGGGUUGUAAAGCCCUUUUGUUGGGAAAGAAAAGCAGCAGGUUAAUACCCCGCUGUUCUGACGGUACCCAAAGAAUAAGCACCGGCUAACUUCGUG
rnacentral:rRNA from 1 species